AAUAGAUACCCUGGUAGUCCACGCCGUAAACGAUGAGUGCUAGGUGUUAGGGGGGUCCAACCCCUUAGUGCUGAAGUUAACACAUUAAGCACUCCGCCUGGGGAGUACGACCGCAAGGUUGAAACUCAAAGGAAUUGACGGGGGCCCGCACAAGCAGUGGAGCAUGUGGUUUAAUUCGAAGCAACGCGAAGAACCUUACCAGGUCUUGACAUCCUCUGACAACCCUAGAGAUAGGGCGUUCCCCUUCGGGGGACAGAGUGACAGGUGGUGCAUGGUUGUCGUCAGCUCGUGUCGUGAGAUGUUGGGUUAAGUCCCGCAACGAGCGCAACCCUUGAUGUUAGUUGCCAGCAUUCAGUUGGGCACUCUAACGUGACUGCCGGUGACAAACCGGAGGAAGGUGGGGAUGACGUCAAAUCAUCAUGCCCCUUAUGACCUGGGCUACACACGUGCUACAAUGGGCGGUACAAAGGGCAGCGAAACCGCGAGGUGGAGCCAAUCCCAUAAAGCCGCUCUCAGUUCGGAUUGCAGGCUGCAACCG
rnacentral:rRNA from 1 species